AGCUCCAAUAGCGUAUACUAACGUUGCUGCAGUUAAAAAGCUCGUAGUUGGAUUUCUGGUGGGAGCGAUCUGUCUUCACACUGUGAGGUACUUGAUUGUCUCCAGCCAUCCUUGGGAAGAUCCUAUCUGGCAUUAAGUUGUCGGGUAGGGGACUCCCAUCUUUUACUGUGAAAAAAUUAGAGUGUUCAAAGCAGGCUUAUGCCGUUGAAUAUACUAGCAUGGAAUAAUAAUAUAGGACCUUGGUACUAUUUUGUUGGUUUGCGCACCGAGGUAAUGAUUAACAGGGACAGUUGGGGGUAUUCGUAUUCAGUUGUCAGAGGUGAAAUUCUUGGAUUUACGGAAGACGAACUACUGCAAAAGCAUUUACCAAGGAUGUUUUCAUUAAUCAAGAACGAAAGUA
rnacentral:rRNA from 1 species